rnacentral:tRNA from 1 species
ACUUAAAUAGUUUAAAAAUUAAAAAUAUUGAUUUGUGGUGUCAAUGAUACAUUAUAAUGUUUUGAGUU